UUAGCUCUCUUUGCCUUUUGGCUUAGAUCAAGUGUAGUAUCUGUUCUUUUCAGUUUAAUCUCUGAAACUUUCCUACGGGAAAAUUCAAGAUUAUCCUUAUUUUUGAAAUCAGCCGGAGAGGCUCUGGGCUUGCUCAUCUUCCCUGGCACAGUGUCGCCAGUAUCACACUACUUCUGGCAGACGCGAACCUAC
rnacentral:snRNA from 1 species